GGGGAAUAUUGCACAAUGGGCGAAAGCCUGAUGCAGCAACGCCGCGUGAGGGAAGAAGGUCUUCGGAUUGUAAACCUUUGUCCUUGGUGACGAUAAUGACGGUAGCCAAGGAGGAAGCUCCGGCUAACUACGUGCCAGCAGCCGCGGUAAUACGUAGGGAGCGAGCGUUGUCCGGAUUUACUGGGUGUAAAGGGUGCGUAGGCGGCUCUGCAAGUCAGGCGUGAAAACUAUGGGCUUAACCCAUAGACUGCGUUUGAAACUGUGGGGCUUGAGUGAAGUAGAGGUAGGCGGAAUUCCCGGUGUAGCGGUGAAAUGCGUAGAGAUCGGGAGGAACACCAGUGGCGAAGGCGGCCUACUGGGCUUUAACUGACGCUGAAGCACGAAAGCAUGGGUAGCAAAC
rnacentral:rRNA from 1 species